rnacentral:rRNA from 1 species
UCCAAAACGGAGGAAAAGAAACCACCAGGGAUUGCCUUAGUAACGGCGAGUGAGCGGCAAAAGCUCAAAUUUGAAAUCUGGCACUAUUCGGUGUCCGAGUUGUAAUUUGAAGAAGGUAACUUUGGAGUUAGCUCUUGUCUAUGUUCCUUGGAACAGGACGUCACAGAGGGUGAGAAUCCCGUGCGAUGAGAUGUCUAACUCUAUGUAAAGUGCUUUCGAAGAGUCGAGUUGUUUGGGAAUGCAGCUCUAAGUGGGUGGUAAAUUCCAUCUAAAGCUAAAUAUUGGCGAGAGACCGAUAGCGAACAAGUACAGUGAUGGAAAGAUGAAAAGAACUUUGAAAAGAGAGUGAAAAAGUACGUGAAAUUGUUGAAAGGGAAGGGUUUGAGAUCAGACUUGGUAUUUUGUAUGUCUUGCUUUCGGGUGGGGCCUCUGCAGUUUACUGGGCCAGCAUCGGUUUGGAUGGUAGGAUAAUGACAUUGGAAUGUGGCACUACUUCGGUGGUGUGUUAUAGACUUUGUUGAUACUGCCUGUCUAGACCGAGGACUGCGUCUUUGACUAGGAUGCUGGCAUAAUGAUCCUAAACCGCCCGUCCUGAACCACCGGACCAA